rnacentral:rRNA from 1 species
AUGACCUUGGUCAAGGCGGUCCUUACGACGGUGGCCAUUUACCACAUUACACCGCUUGACCUUCCGGGGGAGGUUCUCAAGGCGAUCGAUAGGUUGCGGCGAGCCUACCUUUGGGCCGGAACUGACAAGGUAACUGGUGGAAAGUGCAAAGUAAACUGGGAGCUCGUCUGCAGGCCAAAAGAAUUUGGAGGCCUUGGCAUUUUGCACCUGGGCAAGUUUGCCGCUGCCCUCCGGCUGCGAUGGCUUUGGCUCGACUGGGACGACCCACCACGUGUGUGGUGCAGUAUGGGGACACCUUGCACGGCCAAUGACCGUAACCUAUUUGCGGCUGUGACUAAGGUCGCGAUUGGCGAUGGACAGAAGGCUUCCUUCUGGGAGUCGCCUUGGCUGGAGGGUUUUAGGCCAAAAGACAUUGCUCCAAAGAUUUUUGAGAUUUCACGCAAGAAGGGGGCAUCUGUUGCCACAACCUUGAGGGAUGGGCACUGGAUAAACCAAAUUGACUACCAUAACGGCCUCACGCUUGAGCACCUCCAACAAUUCUUGGCAUUAUGGGAGAAGCUUCUGAAUGUCAUCAUCCGGCCUGGUGUUAAGGAUACCACCCUUUGGAAGUUAACCCAACGAUGA